GACGAACGCUGGCGGCGUGCUUAACACAUGCAAGUCGAGCGGUAAGGCCCUUUCGGGGGUACACGAGCGGCGAACGGGUGAGUAACACGUGGGUGACCUGCCCUCAGCUCUGGGAUAAGCCUGGGAAACUGGGUCUAAUACUGGAUAUGACUCCACGGUGCAUGUCGUGGGGUGGAAAGCCUUGUGCGGCUGAGGAUGGGCCCGCGGCCUAUCAGCUUGUUGGUGGGGUGAUGGCCUACCAAGGCGACGACGGGUAGCCGGCCUGAGAGGGCGACCGGCCACACUGGGACUGAGACACGGCCCAGACUCCUACGGGAGGCAGCAGUGGGAAUCUUGCGCAAUGGGCGAAAGCCUGACGCAGCGACGCCGCGUGAGGGAUGACGGCCUGG
rnacentral:rRNA from 1 species